CGUUGAAUGGCUGAAAUUAAAGCACUGGUCUCUUAAACCAUACUAUAGUAUAUUAUUACUUUCAAUGA
rnacentral:tRNA from 1 species